UGUAAAAAAGUGGAAUAUGAAGAAAACAUAACUUACAAAGGCUGUUCUGCAAACAUCACUUUGAGUCGAUGUGAAGGACUGUGUCCAUCUUCAACAAAGUUGAAUGUUGAGAACAUGGUGCUCAAUGCAGCAUGCAGCUGUUGUAGGCCACUGCAGCUCCAUAAGGAGGAAUUUCAACUACCAUGUGAAGAUCCAGAUAACCCUGGCAAAAGGCUCACUAAGGAAAUUACUGUGUUUGGGGGCUGCAUUUGCAACUUUGACAGCUGCAUACAAUAGCCAGACCUUCAGAUAGCUUCAGAUACAGGUGUUGUUUUGUUUGUUUGUUUAACUUCUUAUUUUAAUUUUGUUAAACAUUAACAAUUAAUUACAACCUAAUACUUCCAUGGCAACUGCUCAUUGCAGGGGGUUCUUUUGUACUGAUUAUACAGGUUAGCCUUGCAGGGAGCUUCCUGAACAGCUACCUGGAGCACCAAUUAAAUUAACUGAAUGAUGAAUUAUUCCUAAUCUUGAGGGGAAGGGGUGGGGAGAAAGAGCAGGCAUAGUUUAGGAGCAAAGACUGUCAGAGACCAUCUAGCCUUGCUCAGGGCAAUACUUACCUAGAGGCUAAACACUGGCCUGUGCACCGUGCAAUAACAGAAUUUUGACUUUCAAAUAAAGUAGAAGGAAUUGGAUUUGUUAAAUCAUUCCUCACUGUUUGACCAAUUAUUUUACCUGCAAAUAAGCUAUUAGGUUCACUACACUUGAACUAGGACCUGUGGAUUAACCCAUCACUACACAAACCAGGAAAAGAGAGAACCAAGCAAGCCACUGCCCUUCCUCUGGAAGCAGGUACCUCUGUGCAUCCUCUGUGUGGGACAUUUCUCAAAAUGUCAUUAACACAGAUUAAGCAGUGGCUUUUGGACAAAGAAAAAAAUUGCAGGGUAAUUGUCUGAUACAUUUUGAAGCAUCAAAAUAGUUAUCAAACAAUAAAUCUAACAGGAAGAAGGUAGUUCACCCAAGCAAUUUCCAAUUGCUGUUAGCAGAGAUAUAUUUUUUUUUUAUUUGCAAUUCGAUUGAGAAAGAGUUGUAUAGAAUUUUAAGUGAGUUUUCGACAACCACUAAGAGCCUGAAGCAAAAUACAAACAAACAAAAAGUUUGAGUGUAUUUUUAACAGUUCAGGUACUUUCUUCUUUUACAGCCAAGUAACUUCUUCCAAAUCCUGCCUGGGUGUAAUAACAGAUGUGUACUUUUGUAGCCUCCUGCUUACCCCCUUGUUCAAGCACAGUACCAUGGAAAGCAGUGUAUGAGACACCAUCUAAAUUGCUAUUUAUGCCUUGCAAUGAAGAGAAACAAGGAAAGAGACACUGUUUUGAAAUAGCUGAAAUCCAGAAAACAGUUAUUUCAAGUUACAUUAAAGUAUUGUGAUGAGUUGCAUCAAUUUACUGUUACAUGUACUGUUAGUGUUUAUAUGCUCAGCCACUACCAAACAUACCAAUGCUUAGGAAGGAAGAUUCUACAUCAAGUUUUCACUGUAGAGUGUUUAUAACAUGACCAAAAAAAACCCAACCAAACAAACAAACAAAAAAAAACAACAGAAAACCCAAACUCAGAUCCACAGGCCAGUUAAGAACCAAAACAAUCCACCAGAAGUUUGUAGGAAAGAAUUUACCAUCCCACAUCAGUUGCUGUUCCAAAACAUUAUAUUCGGAAUAAAACAACCAUUUUGGGCAAUUAUCCUUUACAUUCCCACUCCCCCAGACAAAAAAGGACAGUCUGAUUACCGUUCUAAUCAUUUAUUUAAUCUUAAUAUGUUCUUCUGAUGAAUAUAGUCUAAUAUAUAGUCUUCUAUAUGAAAAUUCUCCACUUAAUUUGACAGAACUUUGUUUUAUACAAAUAAGACAAUCACCAUAAAUGUUACAUACUGGAGUGUAGGUCAAGAAUGAACAAAUGCUACCUGUUUUGCUAUUCAGUUAUUUUCACACAUCAAUGCCUGAAAAUACUGUACUUGAAAACAAUAACACUGUUUACUGCAGAAAUUACUUUGUCUGCUUGAAAGGAUACAUCACUUUGGUAAGUUAACCAUUAUUCACAAAAAAAAAAAAAAA